rnacentral:lncRNA from 1 species
AAUAAAUUUUGGCAAGAAGUUUUUGAUGCUUGGAAAACCCUUAAUCAAAUUAGAAAACCAAGAUGUAUUGAUGAAAUUCUAUCUUAUUCUUUAUGGGAGGUAGAAAACUUUAAAAUUGGUGGUUCAAGAGUCUACUAUAAAAACUGGGCAAAUGCGGGAAUUUGGACAGUGCAAGAUUUGUUAGAUGACCAGGGCAAAGUUAUGUCAUUUCAAAAUUUCCAACUAUUAUAUCAAUUUAGGCCAAAUAUUUUACAUUAUUAUGGAAUAGCACACUCGCUUAAUGAGUGGUUAAACACGAUAAAUAUUGAAGUAAACGAGAGA